GUCCAGGAAUGGGAAUCGAAAUACAGUGUUCCGCUUACCGAGCAGAUGCCAUGUCCACUAGGCUACCCUGGA